GAUCCUUUUGUAGUUCAUGAGCGUGAUGAUUGGGUGCUCACGCUGGUGCGUGACAUGUGCCUCCCUCCAAACAUUGUUACGACACUGGCACAUUACCCGUCUGACGUGA
rnacentral:snoRNA from 1 species